rnacentral:ncRNA from 1 species
GAGUUUGAUCCUGACACAGAAGGAAGGCUAGUUAUAUGUUUCACACAUGCAAGUCGAACCUUGUUUUUUGGAGAGCUGGCAAAAGGAAAAGAGGCUCAACGCUUUGCCUCGCCUUUCGAGGUAGGAAGAGUUGAGAACAAAGUGGCGAACGAGUGCGUAACACGUGGGAAUCUGCCAAACAGUUUGAGCCAAAUCCUGAAGAAAGCUAAAAAGCGUUGUUUGAUAAGCCUGCAUAGUAUUAGGUCGUUGGUCAGGUAAAGGCUGACCAAGCCAAUGAUGUUUAGCUGGUCUUUUCGGAUGAUCAACCACACUAGGACUGAGACACGGCCCGGACUCCCACAGGGGGCAGUAGUGGGGAAUCUUGGACAAUGGGCGAAAGCCCGAUCCAACAAUAUCGCGUGAGUGAAGAAGAAAAAGACAGAGGGGAGCUGGUUGGACAAUGAAAGCAAAUUUUGAUUGAUUUCGAUGUUAAAGCUUAGGAUUCUAUCCAUUUUUC